GUUUGUUCAUGUGUUCUAAGUGUUCCACUUUUAAUGAAGCUCUUUCCACAUUCAAUACAUUCAAAUGGUUUCUCCCCCAUGUGAGUUAGUUGGUGUAUUCUAAGGUUUCCACUUCCACUGAAGCUCUUUCCACAUUCAAUACAUUUAAAUGGUUUUUCCCCCGUGUGAGUUCGUUGGUGUCUUCUAAGUGCUCCACAUUCACUGAAGCUCUUUCUACAUUGAAUACUUUCAAAUGGUUUCUCCCCUGUGUGAGUUUGUUGGUGUAUUCUAAGUGUUCCACUUUGACGGAAGCUCUUUCCACAUUCAAUACAUUUAAAUGGUUUCUCCCCCGUGUGAGUUCGUUGGUGUCUUCUAAGGUCUCUGUAAAGGGAUGUUGGGGUUGCUUGUGUGUAAAGGGUGCUACUGUUCUAGGCAAGGUAGCCUGGCAAAACCUUUCCCUGGCUGGACAGCCCUUUCUCCAUGGCUGUGUCAGUCGCUGGCAGAAUCCGUCAGUGGGCGUUUCCUGAACUUCUUCCAACAUAGAAACUCU